CAGACUUGACAUCCUGUGAACCCCUCAGAGACGUGGGGGUGCCUUCGGGAGCACAGAGACAGGUGCUGCAUGGCUGUCGUCAGCUCGUGUCGUGAGAUGUUCGGUUAAGUCCGGCAACGAGCGCAACCCUUGUCUUCAGUUGCCAGCACGUAAAGGUGGGAACUCUGAAGAGACUGCCCCGGUUAACGGGGAGGAAGGUGGGGAUGACAUCAAGUCCUCAUGGCCCUUAUGUCAGGGGCUACACACGUGCUACAAUGGUAUGUACAAAGGGCAGCAAGCAUGCGAGUGCAAGCCAAUCCCUUAAAGCAUAUCCCAGUCCGGAUUGGAGUCUGCAACUCGACUCCAUGAAGUUGGAAUCGCUAGUAAUCGUGGAUCAGCAUGCCACGGUGAAUACGUUCCCGGGCCU
rnacentral:rRNA from 1 species